GUUCUCUUUUCUCCCCUGUGUGUAACAUCUGGGAGAAGCCAGACCCACGUGACACGUUUGUCCAAUCGGCUGCCGGUUUUCAUUUUCUGGGCGACAAUACACCGAUUAGCACCGCCUGCUGUUAUGGAGACGUAUUACGUCUUGCGCACACGCAGAACGUACGCUCAAGUUGGUGUCGCUUUGGUUUGUUCCGAGGCAUUUUUUUGACCAACUUGGGGAGGCAGUCAGUCCAGCUGCCUUUUCUGCCGCCAGUUGGCCGUCAGGUUGGUGUGUGAGGGCC